rnacentral:rRNA from 1 species
GAUGAACGCUGGCGGCGUGCCUAAUACACGCAAGUCGAGCGAACGGACGAGAAGCUUGCUUUUCUGAUGUUAGCGGCGGACGGGUGAGUAACGCGUGGAUAACCUACCUAUAAGACUGGGAUAACUUCGGGAAACCGGAGCUAAUACCGGAUAAUAUUUUGAACCGCAUGGUUCAAAAGUGAAAGACGGUCUUGCUGUCACUUAUAGAUGGAUCCGCGCUGCAUUAGCUAGUUGGUAAGGUAACGGCUUACCAAGGCAACGAUGCAUAGCCGACCUGAGAGGGUGAUCGGCCACACUGGAACUGAGACACGGUCCAGACUCCUACGGGAGGCAGCAGUAGGGAAUCUUCCGCAAUGGGCGAAAGCCUGACGGAGCAACGCCGCGUGAGUGAUGAAGGUCUUCGGAUCGUAAAACUCUGUUAUUAGGGAAGAACAUAUGUGUAAGUAACUGUGCACAUCUUGACGGUACCUAAUCAGAAAGCCACGGCUAACUACGUG